UGGGGAAUAUUGGGCAAUGGGGGCAACCCUGACCCAGCGACGCCGCGUGAGGGAAGAAGGCCUUCGGGUUGUAAACCUCUUUUGUAUGGGAAGAAGGAUGUGACGGUACCAUACGAAUAAGUCCCGGCUAACUACGUGCCAGCAGCCGCGGUAAUACGUAGGGGACGAGCGUUGUCCGGAAUUACUGGGCGUAAAGGGCGCGCAGGCUGGUUGAUAAGUCGGCUGAUAAAUAUGGGGGCUUAACCCUUAUAUGCGGUUGAAACUGUCAGACUGGAGUGCUGUAGAGGCAAGUGGAAUUCCCAGUGUAGCGGUGAAAUGCGUAGAUAUUGGGAAGAACACCGGUGGCGAAGGCGACUUGCUGGGCAGCAACUGACGCUGAGGCGCGAAAGCCAGGGGAGCAAACG
rnacentral:rRNA from 1 species